rnacentral:rRNA from 1 species
AUUGAACGCUGGCGGCAGGCUUAACACAUGCAAGUCGAGCGGGGGAGGUUGCUUCGGUAACUGACCUAGCGGCGGACGGGUGAGUAAUGCUUAGGAAUCUGCCUAUUAGUGGGGGGCAACAUUCCGAAAGGAAUGCUAAUACCGCAUACGCCCUACGGGGGAAAGCAGGGGAUCUUCGGACCUUGCGCUAAUAGAUGAGCCUAAGUCGGAUUAGCUAGUUGGUGGGGUAAAGGCCUACCAAGGCGACGAUCUGUAGCGGGUCUGAGAGGAUGAUCCGCCACACUGGGACUGAGACACGGCCCAGACUCCUACGGGAGGCAGCAGUGGGGAAUAUUGGACAAUGGGCGCAAGCCUGAUCCAGCCAUGCCGCGUGUGUGAAGAAGGCCUUUUGGUUGUAAAGCACUUUAAGCGAGGAGGAGGCUCCUUUAGUUAAUACCUAAAGAGAGUGGACGUUACUCGCAGAAUAAGCACCGGCUAACUCUGUGCCAGCCGCCGCGGUAAAAC